rnacentral:rRNA from 1 species
AACGAACGCUGGCGGCAUGCCUAACACAUGCAAGUCGAACGAGACCUUCGGGUCUAGUGGCGCACGGGUGCGUAACGCGUGGGAACCUGCCCUUAGGUUCGGAAUAACUCCCCGAAAGGGGUUCUAAUACCGGAUAAUGUCUUCGGACCAAAGAUUUAUCGCCUUUGGAUGGGCCCGCGGUGGAUUAGCUAGUUGGUAGGGUAAAAGCCUACCAAGGCGACGAUCCAUAGCUGGUCUGAGAGGAUGAUCAGCCACACUGGGACUGAGACACGGCCCAGACUCCUACGGGAGGCAGCAGUGGGGAAUAUUGGACAAUGGGCGAAAGCCUGAUCCAGCAAUGCCGCGUGAGUGAUGAAGGCCUUAGGGUUGUAAAGCUCUUUUACCCGGGAUGAUAAUGACAGUACCGGGAGAAUAAGCUCCGGCUAACUCCGUG